GUACUAGGUGUAGUUGGUUAUCACGUUUCGCUAACAUGUGCUCCUCAUACGAGCCGCGUUGUGCCGAAAAGGUCCUGAGUUCAAACCUCAGCUUGAUCA